ACCUAAUGAUGUGGGCAUUGACGUAGUAGGUCCCUAAAAUGCUCCCAAGACUCAAAGAAAAGUUUCCCAUCCAUCUAUAAAAUACUCGUAAUGGCUCUCCGAAGCU